rnacentral:rRNA from 1 species
GAUGAACGCUAGCGGCAGGCUUAAUACAUGCAAGUCGAGGGGUAGCAAGAUUGUAGCAAUACAAUUGUUGACGACCGGCAAACGGGUGCGGAACACGUACACAACCUUCCUACAAGUGGGGAAUAGCCCAGAGAAAUUUGGAUUAAUACCCCGUAACAUAGCGAUGUGGCAUCACAUUGCUAUUAUAGCUUCGGCGCUUGUUGAUGGGUGUGCGGCUGAUUAGAUAGCUGGCGGGGUAACGGCCCACCAAGUCUACGAUCAGUAGCUGAUGUGAGAGCAUGAUCAGCCACACGGGCACUGAGACACGGGCCCGACUCCUACGGGAGGCAGCAGUGAGGAAUAUUGGACAAUGGACGCAAGUCUGAUCCAGCCAUGCCGCGUGAAGGAUUAAGGUCCUCUGGAUUGUAAACUUCUUUUAUAAGGGACGAAAAAAGGUCUUUCUAGAUCGUCUGACGGUACCUUAUGAAUAAGCACCGGCUAACUCCGUGCCAGCCGCCGCUGUAAUAC